CUGGACUGGCGGGGGAGGUGCUACAGAAGGCCAUGCCGGUGGAGCAGGGAAGAGGCAUCUGGGCUCUUGAGGUGGAGUAGUGGGAGAGGGAGGUGGGUCUGGACGUGGAGCAGGCGGGGGGAGCUUGAGGAGCACCGCUGGGACAGAGGUGGCGGAGCAGAGAGGGGCGGCGCUGGCUCUCAGGUGGAGGAGCAGUGAGGGGCGACGCCAUGUGGAGGAGGGACUUGGGACGGCUCUGACCCAGAGGAGGAGCUACACCCGUGGGAGGCUCGAUCGCUGCUCCCCUUGCUCUCUCCGUACUCCCCAUCCCAUAAUGCAAAAUAAUGAAUGGAGGGCUGCAAAACAGAUGUUUGCCUUUGAGUCAUGUGGACGGUUGGAUCUAGACUGGAUGUUGGAUGAGAAGGGUAAAGGUGCAGCGUGCCUUCACUUGGUGAAUUAAAUGGAUGUCGGUCCAUAUUUUGAUGAUCAACAACUGACAUAUUCUCUAAUCGACAGCCUAAUACCAGGUGAAGAUGCUGCCUCUUUCUGCCACCGUUUCUAUAUGUUUUGUCCAUAGUAAAAGACCCAUGAAUGUCUAACCUGAUCUUCCUACGGUCCAUCCAAGUAUGACAACCGCUAUUGUGCCAAAACUGGUGUGAAGAUAGACCUUUUGUAGCAAGAUGAGCUUCCUCAUCUGCAGCACAAGUAUGCUGUUUACCCUUCUUCUUCUUUUUUGCAGCCGCUAACAUAUCCUGUAUGCAACAGUGUUAUGAAGUCACAUUUUCUUCUAACUUCAGAACAUCGAUCAUGGGAGUAAAAGAUCUGCCACUCAAAUCAAGACAGAGAUCAUGGACCGUUCACAUAGCUCUAGGUGUUAUGGUCUUUGCUACCAGCUUUAUGUGUUUGUAAGGGUUUUGAUUUCCUUUUGGUUUGGCUGGUACCAGCUUCUAACUUGUGAACAAGACUGUACAAUGUGUUUUAACGAUGUUAUCUUCCAAUUAACCAGAAGACAAUACACAAGUUUCUCUUAGGCCC